UGAACGCUGGCGGCGUGCUUAACACAUGCAAGUCGAACGAGAACGGUCCUUCGGGAUGUCAGCUAAGUGGCGGACGGGUGAGUAAUGUAUAGUUAAUCUGCCCUUUAGAGGGGGAUAACAGUUGGAAACGACUGCUAAUACCCCAUACUCCUUUUACCUUAAUGGUAAUUGGGAAACGUUUUUUCGCUAAAGGAUGAGACUAUAUGGUAUCAGGUAGUUGGUGGGGUAAGAGCCUACCAAGCCAAUGACGCCUAGCUGGUCUGAGAGGAUGAUCAGCCACACUGGAACUGAGACACGGUCCAGACUCCUACGGGAGGCAGCAGUGGGGAAUAUUGCACAAUGGAGGAAACUCUGAUGCAGCAACGCCGCGUGGAGGAUGACGCAUUUCGGUGUGUAAACUCCUUUUAUAUGGGAAGAUAAUGACGGUACCAUAUGAAUAAGCACCGGCUAACUCC
rnacentral:rRNA from 1 species